rnacentral:lncRNA from 1 species
AGAAAAGUCAGUGCCCCCUGUAUGCAAACAUGAUGAGAAAGACAUCAUGGAUACAUUCUCAUUCUCAACUGCCUCAAAUAAAAUUCUAGUAAUAAACCUAACAACAACAAGGAAACACAAGAAUCCCCCACCCCCACCCCUUUACUCCCCCUCCAAACCCAUAAAAUCGCAAAACUGGAAGCAGUAAUGUACAAGAACAGUUAGACAAAAACAAAACAACAACAAAAACCUAAAAGACAAACAAUGACAACAAUAUAGGUGAUAGGAGAGAGUUUGUUUUGUGUAGUUUGUGUGAGGCCUACCAUUAAAUGUGGUUAAUAUACCUAAUGAGACUCUCUGGGUUCUCUUUUGCAAGCAAGUGUCAAUUGCAGAUAGCUUCUUGAUUAGAGGUGGGAGCCUGUGUCCACUUCCCCCCACUCUGUACUAGAAUCCCUCCUGGCUUGAACCUGUGCAGGUUCUGUGCAUGUGCCACAGCCCCUGUUUGUUUGGUUUCUAAAGAAAGAGAGAGUAAGAACGGACAUGGAGUCAGAUGAGUGGGGGAACCAUGAUCAGAAUAUAUUGUAUGAAAACAAAGUGUUGUUUCAGUAAAGCCAAGCAAACAGCCACAACAAACAAGCAAGCAAAAAUCCCUAAAUUUCACAUUGAAACCCAAAAGAUGCUAGAUAAAGAAAACAACCCUGAGCAAAAAGAAUAGUGCUUGAGGAAUUACCAUUCCAUAUUUCAAGGUAUAUUACAGAGUUAUAGUAAUAAAAGCAAGCUUAGUAUUGGCACAGAAAGAUAUUUAGAUCAGCAGAGCCAAAUAGAAGACCCAAGCAUGAGUGCACUCAACUAUAGCCAUUUGACAUUUGACGAAGAUGCCCAAAUAAUAUAUUGGUGACAAGACAGCAUCUUGACCCAAAUAUGCUUCAACAGAUCGGUGUAUAAUAAAGAAUGUGGCACAUAUACACAAUGGAAUAUUGUUCAGCUGUAAAGAAAAGUAAGAUCAUGAUGUUUUCAGGUGAAUGGAUGAAAUUAGGAAAUGUUAUGUUGAAUGAGGUAACACAGACCCAGAAAGACAAAUGCUACAUGCUCUGUCUUAUUUAUGGAUUCUAGGUCCCAAUAUUUAAAUGAGACUAUAUAAUUGGGGUAACCACUGAUACCAUGAAAGC